GACGAACGCUGGCGGCGUGCUUAACACAUGCAAGUCGAACGGAAAGACCCUGCUUUUGUUGGUUUCUCGAGUGGCGAACGGGUGAGUAACACGUGAGUAACCUGCCCUUGACUUUGGGAUAACUUCAGGAAACUGGGGCUAAUACCGGAUAGGAGCUCCUGCUGCAUGGGGGUGGUUGGAAAGUUACGGCGGUGGUGGAUGGACUCGCGGGUUACCCGCUUGUUGGUGAGGUAGUGGCUUACCAAGGCUUUGACGGGUAGCCGGCCUGAGAGGGUGGCCAGCGACCAUGGUACUGAGGUACGGCCCAGAAGCCUACGGGAGGCAGUGGGGGGGAAUAUUGCACAAUGGGCGGAAGUCUGAUGCAGCAACGCCGGGUGCGGGAUGAUGUCCUUUGGGUGGUAAACCGCUUUGGCAGGAGACGAAGCGUGAGUGACGGUAAUGGGUAAAGAAGCACCGGCUAACUACGUG
rnacentral:rRNA from 1 species